UACGUAGGGUGCGAGCGUUGUCCGGAAUUAUUGGGCGUAAAGAGCUCGUAGGCGGUUUGUUGCGUCUAUCGUGAAAACCUGCAGCUUAACUGUGGGCUUGCAGUUGAUACGGGCAGACUUGAGUUCGGCAGGGGAGACUGGAAUUCCUGGUGUAGCGGUGAAAUGCGCAGAUAUCAGGAGGAACACCGGUGGCGAAGGCGGGUCUCUGGGCCGAUACUGACGCUGAGGAGCGAAAGCGUGGGGAGCGAACAGG
rnacentral:rRNA from 1 species